rfam:Frankia sp. EI5c TG55_1012, whole genome shotgun sequence.
GGGCCGUUAGCUCAAUUGGCAGAGCAUCCGGCUUUUAACCGGUGCGUUCAGGGUUCGAGUCCCUGACGGCCCA